CUUCUGAAAAAUUUUUGGAAUUUUGUUUUUUUAAGAUCUAUGAGGUAAUUGGAGAUACCCCAGGCUACUGCAAGACCAGGGCAGGGAAUCACUGCUCUAGUGAUUAGCACUUUGUAAGCCUUCAAAAAAUAUUAAAACCAGGAUAGAUUGUCUAAUUUCUUGUGGGUGGAUUCACUUUAGUAUAAUAUAAUGUGUUAACAAAUGCUCAGAGACGAGGUUCUGGAUCCAGAAAGAUGGCUUUUGCAGAAGGCUUUUAUCCAAAUUAAUUCAAAGAAUAACAGGAACAGUUGUGUAUUGGGGCAGAAGGAAUAAGGUGACUCAAUUAAAUGAUAGAGAAAUCUCCAGGAAAAAAAUUGUCUCAUGUCAACCCAAUACUAACAAUAAAAUUCUCAUUACUGAAAUCGAUAAUCCUGUAAUAAAUGCAUAAUAACUUCAAAAAGGAUUCUUUUAUUAAGUAUUUUUUGUAUGAUUGGCUAUGCACCAAAUAUUGAAAUCAAAUACUGCUUUGCUUUCCUUUAAGAAUGAUAAAAUUCUCUACUAGGUCUCUAAAGAGAAUCUUAAAUGAGAAGCUUCAAAAGAGUAAUUUGCAAAUAAAUUCACCUGAUGAUAUUUGUCCCUGAACCUCCUAUAUUUACCUAAUUCAUUUUUGGCUUUUGCUUAGCUCUAACCAUGGUGACACUGUGAGAAAUGAAUGUCAAGUCGUCCUGCGUUGCCGGAAUGUUUGUACAAGGCGGUGGUGAGCCAAUAGUACCAAAGAUCAACAGUAAAGGCCAGUACUCAUCUCUGCCGCAAGGGAGUGUGACUAACAUCACAAAUCGGUAAUUUAGCAAACUCAACUAGAAAAGCAAAUGCAAAUGACCACAACUCCUAUAACUAUUAUUAUGAUGAUUAUUAUUUAACUAUAACUAUUGGCAUUUCAAGGCCAAGUCAGCAAGAAAGAUUUAGAGCAGAGAUAAAGGAUUUUGUUAUUCACAAUUCAGCUAGCAGCAUCAAUAUCAGCAUAUUUGUCCUAAACUACUCUUCUUACUGAGUGACACAAGGAGCCAGGUGACUCCCACAUGUACCGUUAAGUUGUAUUAUGGGAUAG
rnacentral:lncRNA from 12 species